UGCUCAGCUCUCCUGCCUCCAAAACCAGCGAGAUGCUGCAGGACAUCUUGGAGGUUCUGCUGGACUACUUGUUCUUUGACAUAGUGGCAGUGCAGGAGAGGGUCAUGGGCAGGGUGAGGCUGCUGAGCCAUUUGCUGGCUGACUCUUCCUCUCUUCAGGUAAGGCAGAUCCAGAUCCCAGUCCUUGGGAAGCUGCUGGGCCAUCUGUUUUUCAAGUUGUUCAGGAC
rnacentral:lncRNA from 12 species